GGCAAGUUUCUUCGGGGCGGAGCUCGACCGCCAACACCGAAAGUAGUCGCUUUCAUCGACGCUAAUCGCGAGGAGUUCGGAGUCGAGCCCAUCUGCACCGUCCUGCACACCGCAGGGGUAUCGGUGGCCCCG
rfam:Mycobacterium abscessus subsp. abscessus strain 57 genome assembly, contig: ERS244815SCcontig000040